GAUCCUAUAGUGGUUUGAGCACUGGACUAUGACUCUGGAGACCAGGGUUCCAAUCCCUGUUGGGCCA